UACGUAGGGUGCGAGCGUUGUCCGGAAUUACUGGGCGUAAAGAGCUCGUAGGUGGUUUGUCGCGUUGUUCGUGAAAACUCACAGCUCAACUGUGGGCGUGCGGGCGAUACGGGCAGACUGGAGUACUGCAGGGGGAGACUGGAAUUCCUGGUGUAGCGGUGGAAUGCGCAGAUAUCAGGAGGAACACCGGUGGCGAAGGCGGUUCUCUGGGCAUGUCCUGACGCUGAGGAGCGAAAGUGUGGGGAGCGAACAGG
rnacentral:rRNA from 1 species